rfam:Ictidomys tridecemlineatus contig124764, whole genome shotgun sequence.
UGGGAUGUAGCUCCAGGGUAGAGUGCUUGCCUGGCAUGCUGGAGGCCUUGGGUUCAGUCCCUAGCACCUCAA